AUCUGGCUGACGAGUCCCAAAUAAGACUAAACGCGUUUCCUGGAU
rnacentral:hammerhead_ribozyme from 1 species